rnacentral:rRNA from 1 species
UUUUUUAAUUGAAAACUGGAAUGAAUGGUAUAGACUGAAGGGAAUGUUUUAUAAAAAAAUUUUGAUAUUAAAUUAAAAGUAAAAAUGCUUUUAUAAAUUUUUGGGACGAGAAGACCCUAAAAGCUUAAAAUUUAUUAAUUUUUAGUUGGGGAAACUUUUGAAGAUAAGGAUUUUUAAUAAUUUUUAUUAAAGUAAAGAAGUUACUUUAGGGAUAACAGCGUUAUUUAAUUAGCAAGUUCUUAUUAAUAAUUAAGAUUGCGACCUCGAUGUUGAAUUAAGUUUUAUUUUUGGUGUAGAUGCUAAAUAAAUAUAGUCUGUUCGACUAUUGAAAGCUUACGUGAUCUGAGUUCAGACC